rnacentral:lncRNA from 1 species
UCACAAUCGCAAAUUUUGGGUCACAUAUUAUAAAUUUAGUCACAGUCACAUAUUCGACCACAUAUUAUUUACCGAUUACAAAUUAACAAUUUAUUGAUCAUAACAUAAUUAGUCACAAACACCCUUUCCACUCACUAUACACUGCCAACCACCCACCCCAGCUUCACCAACGUCAAAACCACCCAAAUCCCCAACAACAAACCACCACCACUACUCCAACAACCAAAAAAACACCACCACCGCCACCACUAUCCACACUACCGCACCACCACCACUCCCAUAACAUGCAACAGUAACAGCACCAUUGCAACCCAUCGUCACCAAAACCACCAGCAUAGAUCCAUCGAACAGCAACACACCAUAAAUCCAACAUCAUCACCAUAACCCAACACUGUACCGCAACCGCCAUCAACCACCGCAUCUCGCCAGAUCUACCAUCGCAGCCCACCGUCAAACACCACCUAUCAAACACUAUCACCACUACAGCCACCACCACAAACUACACAAUCUUUCAUAGAUCUAUCAGUAACAAACAACCACGGUCUCAUCAACAAACCACAAAAAGUAAAAAAUCACCAUGUUCACUACGACAGGCAGUAAUAAUUCGCGUAGAUCUCACAAAUCUAUUUCGCAAUGCCUGUGCAAUGCUCAUGCUCAGUUGCUUGUCGGCAUCGUUGCUGUAUUUUCGCCUUUGGCUGCGACGAUUUGCAUUUCUAGAAGAGUAGAUAGUGAAGAGAGAAUAGAGAGAAACAAAUCGUCGCAAUGGAGAGAAUAGAGAUAAUUUGUGGCUUCGGUCCGACGCCGACGCUCUUAGGUUGAGAAGUGAGGCGGCAGAGAAAGUUGUUGAGAGGUAGAGAUGGUUGUCUAGUUGAAGGUCAAAUCGUGAGAUUGUAGAGACAGAAAUGUAGGUAGGAAUAAAUUAGGGUUUGAAAUUAGAUUAUAUAGAUUCAUUAAUUAAUAAUAGAUAUGAAUUUUGAAAUAGUAAAAUUGACCUCUCAUUUUUG